rnacentral:rRNA from 1 species
GAGUAUAAGCCAAUGGAGCUUGGAAGGCUUCCGCAGAUGGUGUCCAUCAUACGUGGUGUUCUUAAGACCUUGAGUCUCGCUCGUCAGGCGUAGCAUUGAGUUUGCCAGGUUAGCCGUCGUGCGGGGGUUCGGCUUGGAGGUCUCAGGCUUCGGCCGAAGGGCUUCCGGCUGUCCCCUUUUGAAUGGACGUUCAGAGCUCUUGUGUCUAAUGCGGUUAUGCCCACCACAGCACGUUGUGAGGUCACCCACAGGCUCAGACUGCCGAUCGCGUAUCCAGGACGAUGGCAACGAUGCGUUGUUGGCGCGUGUGUGCGGGGUUCUCUACACACACACACAGUCACACGCGUGUCUAGUCCUGGGUCGGGCGGCGACCGAGAUAAACCUGGUACGAUCCUCUUGCGACGAGCUGCUUUCUGGCCAGACCGACGCCCAGGCGCCUCCACUGUGCCGGAGGCGUCAAUCCCAGGCGGUGUGAACCCAGCUGCAUUAUGCAAGGUCUCUCAGCCGGGCGUUGGUCUGAGUGGUGUCAAGUCCAGCACCAUCGGUCACGUCUCGAAACACGGGCCAAGGAGUAUAGCAUGUGUGCAAGUCUAAGGGUCUCACAAAACCCGAAGGCGAAGUGAAAGCAAGACUGUGGCGGGGGAGCCACGGCAAACCCGCCGGCCUAGUGCGGCGCCUCGUGCGUCGCCUGGCUUCAAGCAGAGCUGAUCCUGUUUUCUCGGUUAAUUCUUGGUGCAGGCGCAAGCUCCGGGCUCACGUACAACACUGGUCACGCCUCGUGCGUGGCUGUGUUGUGAGC